UACAGAGGUCCCGAGCGUUGUUCGGAUUCAUUGGGCGUAAAGGGUGCGUAGGCGGCGGGGCAAGUCUGAUGUGAAAUCCCGGGGCUCAACCCCGGAACUGCAUUGGAUACUGCCUUGCUCGAGUACUGGAGAGGGAACUGGAAUUUACGGUGUAGCAGUGAAAUGCGUAGAGAUCGUAAGGAAGGCCAGUGGCGAAGGCGAGUUCCUGGACAGUUACUGACGCUGAGGCACGAAGGCCAGGGGAGCAAACAGG
rnacentral:rRNA from 1 species